rnacentral:lncRNA from 10 species
AUGAAAAAUAUUUCAGGGUAAGUAUAUCUCAUAAAACUUUUCAGUUACAUCUGUGUAUGUAUUGGGCUUGAUAUAAAAUGUAUUUUUUAGUGUAGGUUGGGGUCAGGAAAGUUUACAAGGUGUUUUGAGACAAAACAUUUAAUUCAAUUAGAGUUAAGUCUUUGACAUGCUGAGACCUGGGAGAAGAGUUAACACAUUGUUAUGUAUGGAUUUCUAUGGUAUGAAAUGGAUUAUGGGGGGUAAUUUCCUGAUUUCGUAGAGACUACAAGGCAGCAAGAGAUUCUGGUUAUCCGCAAAGAGUGAUGUGAGAAAAGAGAGUGAAAGGGGG